ACUUAGUCUCAGUUCGGAUUGUAGGCUGAAACUCGCCUACAUGAAGCUGGAGUUGCUAGUAAUCGCGAAUCAGCAUGUCGCGGUGAAUACGUUCCCGGGCCUUGUACACACCGCCCGUCACACCAUGAGAGUUGGCAAUACCCAACGUACGUGAUCUAACCCGCGAGGGAGGAAGCGUCCUAAGGUAGGGUCAGCGAUUGGGGUGAAGUCGUAACAAGGUACC
rnacentral:rRNA from 1 species